CAACUUCAGCUUAUUGCUGGGUAGAGCAAAAAGUAGGAACUGGGUUUUUUGUUUCUUUACCCAUUAUCUUAUUCUUGGACUCUAUUUCUCGUUCCAGAGACUCCUUCCAAAAAUCAAUCCUGAGCCACGGAAUAUUGAUUUCCUAAGUUGCUUGGUCUCUCUCAUUCUCGAUCAUCAGCUGGACCACUUUUGGGGCAGAAAGCAGGCACCUGAUUCCACACCGCAAUCAGUAUGCCUCUCUCUCUCUCUCUCUCUCUCUCUCUCUCUCUCUCUCUCUCUCUCUCAUAUAAACAAACACAGACUAUUACUCAUGUCAUUUGUGGUUGAAGAACUAUCCAACGGCUUCUAGGGACUGACCACAUACCAAAGCCUCCAUAUGUGGGUUCCAGUUUUUUACCAGAACUCUCUAGCGAACAUCCAACUCCUGAUUCUGAAGGCAUCGCCUGCAUGCGAGCUUGCUGCUCUGGUCUUGAAUUCUGGCGGGAAAUUGGUUCGGGUAAGAAACUAACAAAAGUAUGUUUUGUAAUUUACUACCGAAUCUAAUUUUGCUUGCAUUUGCUUCGUAAUGUGUUUCUCUUCAUUAAUAUUGUGUCUGCUACUAUGAGUCCUGUACGUUAUUUACUUAUUGUCAGAUAUUUUCAUGGACUUUUAUGCUUGCCUGCUUAGCUGUUGAUAUUUGAACGUUGACCUUUAUUUACCGAGUAACAUUUUGGUUUUGAUAAAACUGAGUUUAAUCUUCUGCCUGAGUUUGCUUAUCCUGUCAUAUGAAAUGUUAGCGUACAAGUUGUCAAUUGGAUUGGAAUGCCAAAUGGACCUGGGAUUAUUGAGCCAGUAUUGUAUACUUUCAGUCGACAUAAGUAUCUCCAUCUCCUUUUCGUGUUCCUUGGGCAGAUUGCGUAGGUUUUUUUCAGGAGAAUUUGGUUGUAGUUUGGGUGGUUGUGAUUAGGAACUUGUGUUUUGUUGCCAGCUGUUUGAUGUAGUUAUGCCAUUACGGCUGAGAUCUUAAUAGGAGUAGGUGCAGUAGCCAGUAGGUUGUCUAUGAAUCAAAGUUUCCUUGACUUUUAGCAUUGUUUCAAAGCAUGUGAUCCUGCUUUCUCUCGUGUCCUGGACUUUGAGCAAGAACCUCUGGUAGUUAGAUAAGAGAUAUGCUUUAACUUGGGUUCUCUUGAUGUCAUUUUUGCACUUCCACUGUAGAAAGUGGUGAGCUAGGAAUUGUUAGUAGUUUGAAAGUUGCACUAGUGUCCAAGUAAUAAAUGUAUAACCUAAAGUUCUUGGAAGGCCAUGGGCCCAUGAUGUAGAACAUUUGGAGGCAAUAACUAAAUGCUUCUGCAUGCUUGGAAUCAAUUUUGAUCCCUAACCUUGUCUCACAAGGUUGUACAUGUUGCUUCAUCUGAGAAAUGAAUUUGUUGAUUACAAGUAUUGAAAAGAAAGCUGAAUUUGUUGCAUUUUGAGUUUUCUUUGUAGAAUGGAUAUUUUCUUAACCUUCUUAUGGUGUUUAUGAGCGAGGGCGGACUGCGGAGCAAGGAUUUCCGCAUGGGUGGUGCCGACUUACGUCCCCUCUCAUGACCCCUUAAUCUUCAUCGUUUCCCUCCAUCAACCUGAAUAUAGUUUGCAUUGUUCUUUGAUUGUUUGUAUCACACAAUCAAUAGACCAAUCAUUCCAUACCAAUGUUGUUUGGGCAGUUUGAACUAUAACCUUGGAAGCACGUACACUAUCAACCAAACUUCGCAUAUCCGUUUCCGUCUCAUGACAAAACAAGUUUUGGAUACGUGUUGGACACACUUAAAUAUAUGUUUGAUGUUUCUUAUAUUUUAUUCUUGUUGGACUCAUAGGGGACACGUUAGUAAGAUAAUAGGACGUAAUACAAUUUCUAAAAAUGGGGCCAGAGUCGAACUCUCAUGGAUGAUUAGUUUUUGAAUACUUUUUUUAAGUGGUUAUGAUUUGUAUGUCCCUAAUAUUGACCUUAUUUGUGUCUCUUUUCCAGUUGUUUUUCCCACAUGAAUAUUUUCAAUACACCUAUAAAAUAUAUGUUCUAUAUCCAAUGUGUUCCCAAUUGAUUGGGACACAAGGCUCGGUUUUGUUUGGUUUGUGUCGAUGUCGCGUGUUCCAGCCUGAUUUGUCCUUACUGAUUGUGCAAAUGAGAAAUAUGGCUCUUUUCUAGAGUGAUGACUUUACUCUGCGUUGAAAACUUGACUUCGUUUUCAUGGAAGGCAUGCUUGUAAAUCAGUGACUUGCUUGAUAAGAGGUAGAAAAAGUGAGAGGUGACUGCUAGCCACAAGAAGUUAGCAUCAAGGUUGGCUUUUGGCCCUCAUCUUGUUAUACUUACUAACAGAUGUGCCUCUUUGAUAAAAAUUCUACCAAAGGAAUUGGACAUACAUGUGGCAAGCAUUUUUCUUAUAGAAGGAAUAUGGUUCCACUACUCUAAACGUGUGUCAUUACCUUCAAAGAAAGAUGGAUGUAAUCAUAAUUAAGGGUAUUUACUCCAAUCUUUGGAGGGCUAAGAGCUUUCAGUUAGAUCUUAUCCAUCCUAUUUCAACUCCCAACUGUUGGAGGGCUAAGAGGUUUUGAGGCCACCUAUCAUCAAUGCUCAAUUUGCUUCAGUUAAUUUUGAAAGUUUCUGGGAUUUGGCCUUAUCUUAUGCUGCCAUCCUAUUGCUGCUGCUUUCUCCAUCCAUUUGCUGCCAUCGUUGUUAUGCUAACUCCCAUCUGUGGAGGGCCAAGACCUUUCAGUUUUGAACAUAUCCAACCUCUCUUCAACUCCCAACUAUUUGAGGAGGGCUAACCGGCUAAGAGGUACUGAGGUCAAUCAUCAAUGCUUAGUUUUGCUCUUCUUUUUUUCUGCUAAUGCUGCUGAUCAACUUGUGAUUCGCUGCACUACUGCUGGAUUUUGUUAGCUGUUCUAUAUAUCCUGAGUCUGCCUUGUCUCUGAAGGAUCAGACCUUAUGGCAUGCCCCUUUCUUUCUCAGUCUGAUGCUAUGAAUUCCUUUUUUCAACUCCAAUUUCUUGGAGGGAUAAGGGAUGUUGUAAUCUGUCAUCAGUGUUGUGUUUCUGAGGUGAAAACUGGGAAUUUCUGUGACUUGCUCUGUCAUUCUGAGCUGCUGCUGCUGAUGAGAUCUGCUAUAUUUGGUGCCAACAAUUUGGUGAUUGACUACCUUUUUCGACUACUGAGGUUGCUAAUCUUAUCAGGCUUUGAAUCGGUUGUUUGGUUUGAGGUCUGAAGCUGCUAUCUGGUGCAUAUCUUUGGAUUUCGUUGGCUUAGUUUAGGUUCCAUCUUAAUUCUGUUUUUCUGGCCUACUGUUUUGGGCUGUUUUCUUUUCCAUGUUUCUCUCUUCCAAUUCUUUAUUGGAAGUCUUUUUCCCUAUCCCAUGUAUCAAUAUCAUGGUUUAGGUUUCUUUUUUCCUUGAUGUACCCUUAUCAAGUUUCUAAUGAAAUUCUUUUUGCCGAUCAAAAAAUAUAAAAAAAAUUAAGGGUAUUUUGAGACAUUGAUAAGGAACUUGUUCUUAUGUCUACAAUAUCAAAUGCAAUGAAAUGACCACUGUAAACUCGAGAAAUAUAAGGGGCGCCGUUGAAAGUAUUUUCACCAUUUGUAUACCACGUAGCCUAUAGUUUGUGGCAUAUGAAUGGAGUUUUUGUUAAAGACGGCACCCAGAAACGCCCCUGUAAGUUGUAGGUUUUUGGUUUUGAUUUGCUUUUUUUUUUCAUUUCUGGCCAACCUUUUUGUUUAUGGAAUGGUAGAAUUAUACUGUUCCUAUCUCUCUAAAGCCUUUGCUCCAUUGAUACUUGCAGGUGUCUUUAUGACUCGCUAUCUACAUCAUUUUAUUUCUUGAUUAGCCUUCAGUGACAACAAAUGAAAUUGAUAGAGCAAGUGAACCAAAUGAUUAUUAGUUCUGGUGCUUAUCCUUCACGUCUUGGCUAUGGGGGAUUUCGAGAGAGUGUAUGCACAUCAGUCAAUGAGUGCGUGUGCCCCGGAAUACCUGAUUCUCACCAAUUACAGGUAGUGCAGUUUCCCUGCCUAGUGCUGGUCACUUAAAUUCAAGCUGUUCAUCCCAAAUGGUCAUUCCUGUGCAGGAUGGUGACAUAAUAAACAUUAACAUGACAGUUUACUUAAAUCUAAGUUGCAUGUCUUGUUUGCUGACUACAUUCCCGUAAAUUGGUGAUCACAUUGACAUGAUCUUGUCCUGUGUGCUUGUGUAAUAAGAUGUUUCAGUUUCUUCAUAUGAAUUUUGUUCUAAAGUUAUUUUCUCAUGCAGAAAGCUCCCUUGAAAUCUGAAACUCUUACAGUGCUGUGGACAUUUUUUAUGUUUGUCUGUUGAGUCUUAUGGAAUAUAUAUACAUUUUGUGAAGACGAUAUAUAUUCUUGCUGUUCUUGAGGAUCCUUAGGCUUGAAAAAUUGCAAAAUUUUGCAUUUUUGCAAUUGGUCUGAAUCCAUCAUACGUUAAUCUUCAGGUAAUAGUGUAUAGUUUGGUCAUGUACCACGAAGACAGCUGUGCCCAUUGAAAAAGAGUGACCCUUUCUUGAAGGUUAUAUGCUACGGGAUGGGAUGACUAAAAUUAACUUCGUUAUGAAACAGAAAACAAAUGUCAGCGGUUUAACUGAUAUAAUGAUAUUAUAGCCCUUGAUAAAAAAAUGCAGUAGUGAAAGUGAUUGAUGUUAGCCAAAGCAAGUAUUUGGGAAUAUGUUGUUGAGUUUUUACUGAAUGUUUUUCCAGUACACGGUAUGAAUGCCUUUCUUUGGCACUUAGUUUUCCCAGUCUUUUACUUUUUUUGGUUUCUCCAUUGUUUUUUCGGAUAUGUUUGGUUUGUUGUUUUUCCAAUAUCAUGGCUAUCAACGAUCGUCGGGUUGCGGUCGUGUCGUUUGGGGGCCUGCUGCACAAAAUAACAAUUUGAUCAGGCUGGCAAUGUCGAGCUGUGCUGCAUAUGUUCUGAUCUAUUCUGCACAAUUGAGAGGUCCGAACAUGUGGUCAUCAAAUGUGUGCCAAUUGCACCAUAGCUCCGUGCUGCCACAACAAGCCUAACCCCUCUACAGCUGCUUCAAAGGCUUUGGUUUGCCCUUUUUGCCGAAGCAAGUUACCCAAUUAGUAGUUGCCGAGACGAAAAAACAAUACACAGUUGGAAUUGAGUCCAUCAAAGUCAAGGACAUCAAGAAAAUUUCAGAGUACAAGUGACGACGGUAGCUUCAAAGGGCUGUCCCGCAUUGGGUUCGUUUGGGAAGUUGGUUGGCCACAGUUCGUGGAAAAUCUCAAGCUGUAUGUGAUGAUUGAGGUUGUUAAGCCUUAAAAAUUUCUGCAGUUUUGGAUUCCCGUUGUAUCUGGAACUCCUUUAUUUUCUGGGUUUUUUUUUUAUCCGCCUUUUAUUUUCUGGUUUGUUAAUGCAAUUUAAAAGCAAUAUUGUAGUAAUGCAUUUUGAAAGCAUUGGAAGAACUAACAACGAUAUCAGUUUAAUGAGAAGUUCUUAUGGUAUUUGGUUUAGUUGGGC